rnacentral:sRNA from 1 species
UUAAUUUACAGUUAAGUUUAUUAAAAACUGUUUGAUAUUUAAGUAAUGAAUUUUUUGGUUUAACCGUAAUCUAAGUACGGCAUCUUAAAUAGGAAAAUUACCUUGAUUGGUAAUUUUUUUUAUUUAAA